GAAAGUCUUUUCAGCUCCGCCACUUGCGCGUGUGUUCGGUGCGCAUGCGCAUGGAGAGUGGUGAGGGGCGGACGGGAGAGAGGAGUGGGCUCGAAAGAGAGUGAGUGAGUAAAUGCGGGCGGCCGGCCGGCCUCCCGGGCCUUCUCCGCCGCCGCCGCCCCGCACAUUAUCAUCAUCAUGUAUCGUGCCAGUAGCGGCCGCUCGAACGUGUCGUCUUCCAGCCGAUCCAAAGAGAGCAACAGCUCUGGCUCCCGUAGUUCUCGGUCCGGAGGCUCCACGUCGGGCUCGGUUCGGGGUCGUAGCCCGCGCCGCUCUCGCUCGCCCUCUCCUCGGGGCCGCCGCCACCGCUCGCCGUCCAGCACCCGCUCUUCUCGCCGCUCACCGUCUCCGCGCCGCAGUAGUCGGAUACGGUCUCCUUCAGGAGGGAGUUGGAGCUGCCUCGGUUCCGAGCAGCGGGAUAGCAGCCUUACCCGGAGGCGUUCUCCAGGCUGGCGCUCACAUUCUCCACGCCGGCGCUCACGUUCUCCAUGUUCACAUUCUCCAGGCCGGCGCUCUCCAACCCGCCAUUCACGCUCUCCAGGCCGGCGCUCUCCGGGCCGGCAUUCACAUUCUCCAAGCCGGCACUCUCCAAGUCGACACUCUGAAUCUUCAGUAGAACAGAGCUUGCGGAUCACAGUUGGCAAUGACCGUUAUGGCAUUGACACACCUGAGAGGAAGAGACUAUCUGACAGACUAGGCUCACCUGUUGAUAGUCUGAGUGAUGUUGACAGGGAUGACUUGGCUGAUGGUCCAAUAUUUAGCAGAGGCCUUUCACAUCCUCGAAGCCUUGAGCGAUACCCCUCUCGUGAUGAAACUCCUUCUAGUCCUUUCAGUAUGAGACACGAUGAGGAUUAUCAUAGUAGGGAUGUUUUUGUCCACCAGUCGGACUAUAGCAUGAACUAUGACCAUCUACAUGAUCAACCAAGAGAAACUGAUAGGGGUGGUGAGCUACUUAGGAAAUCCCUGUAUUCAUCAGAGGAUAGAGGGAGAGAACCAAAACGUCCUCGAUAUGACAGAGAUGACAGACUACUUGAUAUGAGCAUAGAGCCUCAGGGCUUUGUGCCAACAACACGAAACUAUCGUAAACGAAGUCUUAGUAGAAGCCCAAGUCCAACAUACCUGGAUGAGGAUUUCCGUGAGCUUGAAAGUGCUAGGAGGAAAAGAGAAGAGGAGGAACUGAGCAGAAACAUGAACCGAGAACUGUCUAGCAGUGGCUACAUGAUGCAUGGCUCAACCAAUCCAGUACAGUCUUCUGAACCUCGAUACCUUUAUAGACCUGAUGAUGCACCAGCGAUGCCCAAAAAAUCUAUAUUGAAGAAACGUGUAGAAGAUUUUUCUGUCCAGCCAGAAGUGUUUUCUAGCAGUCCCACCUCUGUCAAAGAGCCCCCACUUCUUUCAAAUAAUCCUCCUUUGCCCCAGCGUAACAGCAUUGCUCCUUUUUCUUUGGAAGUGGAGAAUUUUCUCAAACGUUUCAACAAAAAUGCGGUUGCGGAGUCUACCAAUAAGGAGUCUCAAAGCAGUGUUCAUGAUUGGAGAUCAUAUUCUGGCAUACAACAAAAUAGUUUUUCUUUUGAACAGAACUCUGGGAAUUUUCUAAAACAGAAAGAGCCUCAUGAAUCAACAUCAGAGCCUGUUGACAGGCACAGUGACUUUUUACUUCCUCAUGAAAGAGUCAGCCAAGAUGGGAGUGGCUUUUCACGCAUUCUGGGUAUGAUAGCAGAUUCUACAAGUUCUCAGGAGAAGAGACGGCGCAGCUUUCCAGACGACAUUGAGGAUGAAGAAAAAUUUCUUUAUGGUGAUGAUGAGGAUGGCUCUAAUGUUGACUCACCGUCUACUCAGAAGCUAACACUGAGUAGUGAGAGAGAAUCCUUGAGCCAGAAAGUAGGUUCUCCACCUCGUCCUAGUCCACCUGUAAAACCAGACACAUCAGAACAGUCCAGGCCAGAAUAUGAGAAGAUACAUGACUUGCUUAAAACUAUUGGUCUUGACAUUGGGGUGGCUGAAAUUGGUAAGCUUGCUGCCCGUACUCAGGAACGACUCCAUGGGAAAAAACCAUCUCGGUCUCCUGAUCGUCAUUUAGCGGCUUCUUGUAAAGCAGAAUCUCGGGAGAGGCGUCACAGUCAAAGCAACACUCAUUCCCCGGAAUCAAGCCAGAAGCGCUCUCUCUCACCUUCUAGUUCCUUCCCCCCAUCUAAAGAGAUAACCUCUAUUUCAAACUCUGAGCACAAUAAAAGCAAAAGUGUAGGUCAGGAUAAUCCUACUGGCACACCAGAGAGGUCUGUUCCACCAAUAUCUUUAAUUCCAUCAGCUCCACCCCUCCCCAACUUGUCUCCUCCUACAUCUGUGUCUCAGUAUAGAGUUUCCCGCUUUUCACCGUUCCCUACAACUCAACUGCCACAAAACUAUCCCUCUCCCACAAUGGCACCCCCUGGCUAUGAUGCGUACGGACACUACAUGGCCUAUGCAGCUUCUGGCUGGCGCAUGUAUGCGCAGCAGGCUGACCCUGCACUUUCAGAUGUACAUGGGCUUGUCACACUGACAGUGCCACCAAAUCCUACACGACCCAAUCUCAGAGUUAUUGAGACAGUUUCCACAGGCAAAGGGACUCCUGAUAUCAAAAGGGAUGAGUCCGUGCUUGUGCAAAUCCCCACUGGUGCAUCUUACUCCAUCCCCCAGUUCUCACAGCCUUCUCUCAAAGAAAGAAUAUCAGAUGAAAGAAAUCGGGCUUCACAAAAGCAGAAGGUAAUAGAAGAAAGAGAGAAAUUAAAGGCUGAACAAGAAGCGCGACAGAAAAAGCUGCACUAUUUGAGGACUGAGUUAAAUAGGCUUUCAAAACAGCAAGGAGAGAUGCUGCGGAAGAAGCGUAGGGAAAAGGAUGGGCACAAGGACCCCUUGCUAGUGGAAGUAAACCGACUACAAGAGAACAUUGUGAAGGAAAUUGCUCAACUGAAGAUGAGUGCUGAUGCUGCAGAAAAGAAACAAUCUGAGCUUGACAAGGUAGCUCAGAUCCUGGGGAUUAAUAUUUUUGAAAAAUCCCGAAAACUAUCUUCAGAAAACAAAGACACCUCAGAAAAAAACAAGUCAGAAUUUGCAAAAAGUCAGGAGAGAACUUCCAACUCAAUCAAGGAAUCAAAACCUACUAAUGACAAGCCCAAGGGUAGGAGUCCCAAGCCUACGGAAUCAUCACAGCCAUCCAAACAGCAUAUCCAAGGGGCCAAUAUAUAUGACUAUUAUGACACAGGGAACCAUUGGUGCAAGGAUUGCAAUACCACCUGUGGGACCAUGUUUGAUUUCUUCACACAUAUGCAUAAUAAGAAGCAUAGGCAGACCCUGGAUCCAUACAAUAGACCUUGGGCUUCAAAGACUCAAGCAGAAACAAAGCAAGAAGUCACAAAACGGAUUGAUAAAAUACCUGUUCCUGCCAAAGGUUCUGAAUUCCUUAUUCCAGUCACUGGAUAUUACUGCCAGCUUUGCCAUGAAUUUUUUGGAGACCAGAUAUCAGCAGAACAGCAUGUGAAAAGUCAUCCACAUAAUGAGAAAUAUAAGAAACAUGUGGAAGAAAAUCCACUCUAUGAAGAAAGGAGGAACCUGGAUCGCCAAGCAGGAUUGUCUGUUAUUCAAGAAACAGAACGCAGGCUAAAACGUAAACAGUGUGAAAAGCAAAAAGAGGAGAAAGAUGAAAAGACCACAAAAGUGGUAAAAAAAGAGGAAACAAAGAAUACCAAAGAAUUGGGAGAUGGAGAUAAUGAAUAUGAGACUAGUAAAAGGAAAGAUGUUCCUAAUGGUCAAAAAUGUGGGAUUAAGCUUAAAUUGAAGAAAGAUGACAAAGAAGUUGAGAAGAAGGCAGGGAAAAAAGAGGAAUCCGCUAAAGAAUCCAGACUGUCAUCUUUUGGAAAAUUCAGUUGGAGGAAGGCAGAAAGAGAGGAAAAAAAUCAAGACAAAGAUGUCUGCAGGGAGGACAGCACUGAAGAAAGCAAAGAAAAAGAAAGUAAGACCCAGUCUGGAAAACCAAAUUCAAAGCCCAUUGCAAUACGGUUGUCUGGGAAAACUGUUAUCCCACACACUAGUCCCUGGACCCCGGUUGUUUCAACUUCAUCACAAGCAAAAAUCAGACCUAAUUUACCAGUCCCCAUGAUGGUUCUGAGGAAGUCUGCAACAACAACAGUAAGCAAGCCAGCACCUCUAAAUACUUUCCUGUCCAUAAAAUCUUCUGGUGCCACCACCAAGCCACUCCCUGUGGUUAAAGAGGGUAAUUCAGAACUUGUUCUAGCUCCAGAUAUAAUUUCAAAAGCAUUUGGGGGAGAAGUAGUAGUUUUAAAGAACUCACAGGAGAAUGCAAAGACACCAGAACAGCCAGAGGAGCAGGAGCAUGAGAGUGUGACAAAGGCCAUAGAACAUGCAAAAGCCUUGGAACACGCAAAGACAAGUGCAGCAAAGGCUCAGGAGCAGGCAAUUGUUGUGGCAAAAGCACAAGCAAAGGCACGGGAGCUUGCAGCUAUGGCAAAAGAACAAGAAGUUACAAGAGUGGCAAAGAUCAGUGAGCAGCCCGUGAUAUUUGAAAGGCCGCAUCGCCGUCCUCCUCUUCUACCACUGCCACCAGGACCGCCAUUGAUGCUAACAGUACCACUACCACGACCCCCACCAAUAUUAUUCCCACCUCCACCCCUGAUGCCACCAAAAGAUACGGUUGUCCUGGCAGAUGAUAUGGCUCCUGGUGUGUCUGAGGAUGAUAAAAACAUCCUGGCAAUGCCCAUGUGUCCCCGUCCUUUGCCACCUCCAACAAUUUUCAGAGACCAUGUUAAUAAAUUAGAAAAAAAGAACUCUUCCCUGGCUGCAGGUAAUGCUAAAGAUUUGUAUGACAUCUUCUACAAUAGCAGUGGUAGGAGUCCAGCUGACAGCAAGCUUAUGAAUUCUGCAAAUUCAGAUAAAGGAAAAAUCAAUCCUGUUGAGAGAGAGAGAAACACAGAUCAGUUGGUGGUUUCCAAGCCAAGCAAUGCCACUUUUGCACAAGAAUGCAGUUCUUCAGAUGGUAGCAAAAUCCCCUUAGGUGAUGGGACUAUAGAAACUGAGGUACUAAAAGCUGAGAGAACAUCAGCAGCCUGUGAAGAAAACAAACUCAAAAUUGGUGCUGAGAGAGAAGUGGAGAAAAUAUCCUUUUUGGAUACACAAUCUACCUUUAAGUAUAGGGAAGCAUCAGAAUCUAACAACCUUGCAAAAAGUGCCUCUGUUUCCUUUCAGAAUGAAGUAGAAAUAGGAACUCCUGCACCAACUGAAUUUAAGAAAUCACCAGAGGCACUUGAAGAAGGACAGUUAACCAUACAGAUACCAGAAAGGAGUAUUCUUCCACUGGACAACCUUAGGAAAUCCACAGAUCUUGAGACGGCAGAUUUUAAAAUUCCAAAUGAUAAUAAAUUAACUGUACACUUAUCGGAAGCCUCAGAAUCUAAUCCUCCAACAGGUGUCUCUGUUUCCUUUCAGAAUGAACUAAAAAUAGGAAUUCCUUCCACUGAAUUUAACAAGAAUUCUCCUGUGCUUGAAGAAGCAGAAUUAGCUAGGCAGUUGCCAGAAAGCAGUAUUUCUGCUUGCAGAGAUGACAGCAAGAAUCUAUUAGAGUUUGAGACAACAGAGUUUAAGUCUUACGUUGGUAACAAGCUGGCCAUACAGUCUUCAGAACUUGCCACUUAUCCUUUAGAAGAUGUUAGCAAGAAGCCACUGGGUCUUGAAAUUGAAAAAUUACCCAUGCAGUUGCCAGAAGAAAAUGUCCCUUCUUUAGAAGAUGAUAACAAGAAGGUAUCGGACUUUGAGAUGGAAGGGUUUAAAUCUUCUGUUGAUAACAAGCUGGCUGUGAAGUUGCCAGAAUACAGUGUUGCUCCUUUAGAUGUUAGCAAGAAGCCUCCAGAGAUUGAUGGAGCAAAAUUAUCUAUGCAGCUGACUGAAAGUAGCGAUGCUCCUUUGGAAGUAUUUCCAAAGGUUCCGUUAGAGUUUGAGACAGCAGAAUUGAAAGCUCUUGAUGAUCAAGAAUCAACAAUUCAAUUGUUAGACUACACCACUGCUGCCUUAGAAGAUGUAAGCAAAAAGCCACCACAGUUUGAGACAGCAGGAUUAGCUAUGCAUUUGCCGGACACCAAUGCCCCACCUUUGGAAGCACUUCACAGGAACCCAUUGGAGAGUGAGGUGGUGGAAUUCAAAUCUCCUGAAGAUACAGAAUUAGCAAUCCACUUGCCAGAAAAGGAGGCUAAUCUUAGGAAGGAGUCUGUAGUAGUGAAACAUGUUGAUGCCACAAGCUGUGAUGACAUCAGUGAGAAGCUGCAAGACCAACAGAAUAAGGAAGUUUAUGGCAAAUCAAAGUUAGAAGAGAUUAAGAAUGAUUUGAAGAUGAAAGCAUAUAUGACAAAUUUAGGUGAGAGAGAUGUAGCAUUAGCAAACUAUAACUUUGCAGUUAGUCAGGGAGACAACCCUCAGUUAUUUGAAAUGCAAAUUGAAAUUGCUGAAGAGGAAGGACCUAGUAUAAAAGAAAAGAAACAAAUUGAUGACAACUCUGAACAGACAAUAUCUACAUUGGUUUCAGAUAUCUCUGUUCAGAGUCAAGUAGCUUGUGAGCCUAUAGACUUAUCUUCAAAAGUGAGUGAGGAAAAUCCUCAAAUAGUAGUGCAAGAUCAGUGUUCUUCUAAAGAAUCAUCAUUGGAUUUAAAGCUGGGCACUGUAGAAUUAGAUAGGCUUGAGCCAGCAAUGAUUGAUGAAAGUCCUCAUACUUCAGAGGUCCUGAACAGAGAUCCAGAAUCAAGUCCUUUAAAUAAAGGUGAAUUGGACUCUUCCCAUACUAACAAUGAAGAAUUUUUGGUUAACUCCCAGCCUGAGGACAGCGAGGCAUUUAAUAUAGUCAGUGUUCCAAAAUCAGGAGACAUGCUAAAUAUGUGCCUUGCUGAUAGAACAGUGAUAAGCAGCACAUCAGGGAAAUAUGAAAAAAAUAAUCAGCCAUUAGGAGAUGAAGCUAAGGAUCUGCAGGUUGAGGAAGCUAAAACUUUGGGCAUUAAGUCUGCAAAUGAUGCUGAAACUAGUCGCAGUUUAGAAGUGAUGCCUCUGCAAAAUGACAAACAGAGAUCUGCUGAAUCUGAUAUAGAGUUAAGUGGCAUGGAAGAGACGAACUUAACGAAAACAGAAAAUGUUAACUUUUCCACCAUUCAGCCAGAGAUAGUCCAGGAAACAUUAAAUGUUCUUCCAAAAGAAGGCAAUGUUGGGCAUCUUGGAGAAGAGGCACUUACCUUUACAGACAUGAACACUGGGAUCUUGCAUACCUCAGCAGCUAAUGACUUUGACUUGAGUGCCAGUCACUCAGAACUUAGCUUUGUUCAGCGUACAUCCCUUACUCUGAGUUUAAAUGCAGAAAAUGACAAAGAUUCUCUGAAGCCUGGUGAAGUCAAGCCUACUGACCCUAACAAACUGAAAACAGGUUUGGAAUUAGAAACCAUCCGUUUCAGUCUAGGGAAUAUUGAAAUGGAACGUGAACACUUGAGUAUCCUACCAUCUGAAAUUCUAAAUAAGGUAGAGACCCCAAAGUUAGAAACUAUUGCACCAAUUUGUUUAGAAUCCAACAAGACUAGUGGGUUGGGCAUUGCAUUAGCCUCUGGCGAUCAAGAGAAGAAAAUUUGCUUCUUGGUUUCUGAUGCGAUAGUCUCAGAUAUGGGGUGUCCUGAAUCAAAUGGUGACAUUGCAGAACCAAACAUGUCACUUGCUGAAAUGCAGAGCAUUCCUCAAGUUUCUGAGGUUCUGCAAGUAAGUGUCAGCAAAGAUAGCAAUUCUGAUAUGUCAUUGUUGAGUUAUGUUGAAAAAAAUGUGCAAAACCAAGCAGCUGUAUGCAUGGAAUCCCUUCAUCCAGAACUAAGGAAAACAUCUGUUGAAGUGGGGGGUUCGGGUGACAGUAUCAAAAGUCAGAUGCAGACAUCUGGAGGGGAGCUAAUUAAGCCAGAGGAAGAAAAUAAUGACAGUAGAUGUGAAGUUAACAUUAAGUUGGCUUCAGAAGUUACUGAAAAUUCCACAGAAAACUUGGUAAGUUCCAAUAAGAUCAGUUCAAAUGCUUGAAUAGCAGUUGUUGAGAUUUUGUACAUACUCUGUUUUGUAUUUAAUAUGUUGAACAUCUUGUAGCUCUCAGACAGACAUUGGUCAAAGGCUAAUCUUUCCUUAUUCAAACAUGUAGACUCUGUACAUACUGCAUUGUGUAAAAUGUUGUCUUGUCAAUCUUUGACCAUUAGGUUUCCCUUUCUUGCAAUUAAAGUGGAAUUUCUCAUUUAUAAUGUGCACAGUUGGGCUCUGAACUUCUGUUUUUGUUACAGUUGGAGUGUGUGUCUUCCUUCUACAUUUUUCUUUGACUUUUAACGGUUUCUGAUUUACACAGCUUUUGUAAGUAACAUUCCAAGUGCAACACUGACAAGCGCAAGGACACCUGUUCAAAACUUGAGGAAAAUGAAGGCACUUGCUGAAGCAUUGAAGCAAAAACUUUCUUUGAAACAUGCGUAUUUUGUUAUGAAAAUGCCAGAAGGGUGUUCCGCAUUUUUCAUGAUGCAGAAAAGUAUUCUGCAUUUUGAUUUUUAAUUACAUUGUUGAAUUGCACCUGUAAUCAAGACUGUAAUGCCAUAUUGUAUAAAACCCUGUGUGGAUACCAUCUCAUUGACCAAAGGAGAACAAUCUACCAACUCACUUUUGGAGAAGAAAUCUAUUUGCAGCUUCUCAACUCGGAAGAAAUAGAAGAUCUGAACUUUGCUUCCAGGAUUGGAUUCACUUCAUAUAUCCAGACAUUACAUGCCUGAAUGACCCCUUGAGCCACAAAAUACUGUUGUGUGAAGGUUUUCACUUACACAGCCAAGAUAUGCAUUAAAUCUUUGCAUGGAUUUAUCUAAAGGGUUUCAUCUGUAAAUCUAAAAUAAACUCGUAACGAACGGA